rnacentral:rRNA from 1 species
UGUCUAUUUGGAGGUAUAAGAAGUUUGGCCUGCCCACUGAUCGGAAUGAUUUAAGGGCCGCGGUAUUAUGACCGUGCAAAGGUAGCAUAAUCAUUAGGUUUUUAAAUGGAAUCUUGUAUGAAUGGUUGGACAAAGGAAAAACUGUCUUUAUAUAAAAAUUUGAAUUUUACUUUUAAGUGAGAAGGCUUAAAUGUUUUAGUGGGACGAUAAGACCCUAUAAAACUUUACAUUAUAAUUAUAUUUAGUUGAAUUUUAAUGAUAAAAAUUUAAUAUAAUAAUUUGUUUUGUUGGGGAGACAGAGGUAAAAAUUAUAUUAACUACUUAAAAAAUAAACAUUAAUUAAUGGAAAGAAUUAAUAGAUCCUAAGUAGAGAUUGGAAGAUUAAGUUACUUUAGGGAUAACAGUGUAAUUUUUUUUAAGAGUCCAUAUCGAAAAAAAAGUUUACAACCUCGAUGUUGAAUUAAAAUGUCUAUAUAACGCAGCUGUUAUAGCAGAGGGUCUGUUCGACCUUUAAUUUUUUACAUGA